ensembl:lncRNA
GGAAGGCUUCAAGGAUAGAGUGGCCUCUGGGGUUGAUGGGAAAUGUUAAUGCUUCCUGCUAGUCUCUGAUGAAGACUGGGGAAGAGGAUGGAACAUGGAUAUUGUGGGGAUGUGUGCUUAGUGAAGCAUGGCAGCUCAGCUUGACAUCCAGCAUCUCUCUCUCUCUCUCUCUCUCUCUCUCUCUCUUUUUUUCUUUCUUUAUUACUUCACAUUUUCCACUCUUAUUGGAACAUGGAUAAGCCUUCCUUUCUUAUAAGCCAGUAACCUGGUCAGGGGUUUGAGUGGAUCCGGAGGCUACCCUGGGAACACUGGGUGCGAGAUGGGAAUACACCCUGGAUGGUACUCCAGUCCAUCGCAGCUUCACUAACCACUUGCCCAGUAACAUCCUGACCAGGAUCGCUAUGGAUCUGGAGCACAUUGUGGGUCACGGGGAAACCUGGAGCCUAUCCCAGGAAGCAUGGGGCAUAAGGCGGGGUACACCCUGGACAGGGUGCCAAUCCAUCGCAGGGCACACUCACACCCACUACGGACACACCAAUCAGCCUACCAUGCAUGUCUUUGGACUGGGGAAGGAAACCAGAGUACCCGGAGGAAACCCCCACAGCACAGGGAGAACAUGCAAACUCCAC